UGUCCCUAUGCAAACAAACCCCCUGGAUCCCUUUGAGUAUGAAUUUUUUACGCAAACAAAAACUAAAAUAACACCCUCAACACAGGUGUUUUCUUUUCACGUUUUUCUCAAAGCACCUCUCUCUCUCUCUCUCUCAAAAUUCCAUUUCUCUCUCUCUCUCUCUGUAAUACCCAAAGCUGCAGAAGUUCCUCUCUCUAUAUCGUCUCUCUCUGCUCUCUCUCUCUCUAAAAAACCAACAAUCAGAUCUGAAGCCUUAUUUCCCUAUUCAGCCCCAUCCCACCGAUCUAAAAAACCCACAGAUCUCUAUAUCUCUCUCUACCUCGUCUCUCUCUUUUCCCUCUUCCUUCCUGCGCGACCUUCCUCUCUCUUCUUCUCUCAUUCAUCUUCUUCCUCAUUGCUCUCAAAAUCAAAGGUAUCUUCCUCAUUGCUCCCAAAAUAAAAAACAACGGCAGAGGAUCUAAGGUCAAAAGCGGCUCAAAAACCCCAAAUCAGGAGGAAUCUCUAAAACCCAAUAUUUCCAUCAAGAAUCUGUUCAAAAACCCCAAAUCAAUGCCAAGAUUUGCGCAUGAGAUUGAGCAUCAUUCUGCUAUUUCAAUUGCUAUCAAAGACACUAGUAUUACAACUCAUGAAGAAAUGGAGAAUAUGGAUAUCUUUCAUGUGGACCCCUGCUAAAAAAA